rnacentral:rRNA from 1 species
UACGUAGGUCCCGAGCGUUGUCCGGAUUUAUUGGGCGUAAAGCGAGCGCAGGUGGUUUAUUAAGUCUGGUGUAAAAGGCAGUGGCUCAACCAUUGUAUGCAUUGGAAACUGGUAGACUUGAGCGCAGGAGAGGAGAGUGGAAUUCCAUGUGUAGCGGUGAAAUGCGUAGAUAUAUGGAAGAACACCAGUGGCGAAAGCGGCUCUCUGGUCUGUAACUGACGCUGAGGUUCGAAAGCGUGGGUAGCAAACAGG